rnacentral:misc_RNA from 1 species
AAGUCGUAACAAGGUUUCCGUAGGUGAACCUGCGGAAGGAUCAUUAUUGAAUAAGUUGAGAGGUUGAAGCUGGCUCUUCGGGGCAUGUGCACACCUUUCAAACUCAUCUCAACCACCUGUGAACUUUUUGUAGACCUGGAAAUGGAUGUCUUUGGGGGGUUGUGGCUCCCUUUGCCAUUUCCUGUGUCUAUGUUUUUAUAAUACACUCUUAAAAUGUCGUAGAAUGUCUUUUAUGGAUUGAAAAAUUUAUACAACUUUCAACAACGGAUCUCUUGGCUCUC